rnacentral:rRNA from 1 species
GUUCUCUUUGAGGUCGGGCAUUGGAAUGGACCGAAUGUAAACGAUUCGGUGAGUACCCACGAGAGGGCAAGUCUGGUGCCAGCAGCCGCGGUAAUUCCAGCUCUCGUAAUGUAUAGAAUUAUUGUUGCGGUUAAAAAGUUCGUAGUUGGAUUUCAUACCGCCAGUGGGUCGUGCCUAACGGUGCGUACUCGCGGCGGUGUUUAUGCCGGGGCGGGCUUGCCUGCCCCAGCAUGGAUUACUUUGAACGGCUUAAGUGCUCAAGGCGGGUCUUCGGACUGAAUACCGGUGCAUGGAAUAAUGGAACAAGGUUUCGGCCGAGUUUUAUUGGUUUUGUCGGCUGAGACAAUGGUUAACAGGAACAGCUGGGGGCACUCGUAUCCCGGCGCGAGAGGUGAAAUUCGUGGACCGUCGGGAGACGCCCUAAAGCGAAGGCAUUUGCCAAGAGUGUUUUCAUUAAUCAAGAACGAAAGUCAGAGGUUCGAAGGCGAUUAGAUACCGCCCUAGUUCUGACCGUAAACGAUACCAACUAUCAAUCCGCCAGUAGCUUUUGGUUAUUGGCGGGCGGAUCGACGGAAACGAAAGUUUUUCGGUUCCGGGGGAAGUAUGGUUGCAAAGCUGAAACUUAAAGGAAUUGACGGAAGGGCACCACCAGGAGUGGAGCUUGCGGCUUAAUUUGACCCAACACGGGAAACCUCACCCGGCCAGUACAUCAUAAGGAUUGACAGAUUGAAACUCUUUCAUGAUUUGAUGAAUGGUGGUGCAUGGCCGUUCUUAGUUCGUGGCGUGAGUCGUCUGCUUAAUUGCGAUAACGAGCGAGACUCCGACUGUUAAAUAGCACCCGUUUCUUUUCGAGCGGGCGGCUUCUUAACUGGAUUCGCGGCUUCAAGCCGCAAGAAAUGGAGCAAUAACAGGUCUGUGAUGCCCUUAGAUGUUCGGGGCCGCACGCGUGCUACAAUGAUGGUAACAGCGUGAUUGUCCUCGCCCGACAGGGCUUGGCAAACAGCUGAGAUAUUAUUAUGGCUGGAAUUGAGUGUUGAAAUUUUCUCUCAUGAACGAGGAAUUCCAAGUAAAUGCGAGUCAUCAACUUGCAUUGAUUACGUCCCUGCCCUUUGUACACACCGCCCGUCGCUACCCGGGACUGAGUUGUUUCGAGAAAUCUACGGACCGGCCGCUUCUCGCAAGAGACCCGGCUGGAAAGUGAAUUAAUCGCAACGGCUUGAACCGGGUAAAAGUCGUAA